UACAGAGGUGGCAAGCGUUGUUCGGAAUUACUGGGCGUAAAGGGCGAGUAGGCGGCCUUCUAAGUCAGACGUGAAAUCCCCCGGCUUAACCUGGGAACUGCGUCUGAUACUGGGAGGCUAGAGUAUGGGAGAGGGAUGUAGAAUUCCAGGUGUAGCGGUGAAAUGCGUAGAUAUCUGGAGGAAUACCGGUGGCGAAGGCGGCAUCCUGGACCAUUACUGACGCUGAGGCACGAAGGCCAGGGGAGCAAACGGG
rnacentral:rRNA from 1 species